UACGGGGGGUAAGCGUUGUCCGGAAUUAUUGGGCGUAAAGAGCUCGUAGGCGGUGUGUCACGUCGGCCGUGAAAACCUGCAGCUUAACUGUGGGCGUGCGGUCGAUACGGGCAUCACUGGAGUUCGGCAGGGGAGACUGGAAUUCCUGGUGUAGCGGUGAAAUGCGCAGAUAUCAGGAGGAACACCGGUGGCGAAGGCGGGUCUCUGGGCCGAAAUUGACGCUGAGGAGCGAAAGCGUGGGGAGCAAACAGG
rnacentral:rRNA from 1 species